rnacentral:tmRNA from 1 species
GGGGCCGUAACGGUUUCGACAGGUUGGCGAAAGCUAUCCCGUGAUUCAGGUCGAGAGUGAGUCUCCUCUCGCAAAUCAAAGGCUCAAACAAAAUGUAACUGCGAACAACAUCGUUCCUUUUGCUCGUAAGGCAGCUGCUGUUGCCUAAAAACCUCUAAACAGGUUCGAGCGCUCGCCGUCUGACUCCGUUAAGGGCUGCGGGCCAAACCUCAACGGAUGCUCUCUUGCUCCUCCUCUGGUAGGCUCAAGAGCUAAGACUUUACCAGAGUAUCCUGUCAUCCGGGAUAAGGGAUGGUUCCCGCCUUGAGGGUUAGAUGGGCUAAACCUGUGAAUGAGCGGACAGUCAAUACCCAGUCUGGACAGCAGUUCAACUCUGCUCGGCUCCAUCA